rnacentral:misc_RNA from 1 species
UCUCCGUUGGUGAACCAGCGGAGGGAUCAUUACAGAGUUUUCACAACUCCCAACCCUUGCGAACCGUACCCAUUCUGUUCUCGUUGCUUCCGGCGGGGGGGACGGGGGUGCCCGAAACGCCCUCCCCGCCCCGCCCGCCGGGGGCGGCGGGCUCCCCGAACCCCUAUACUCCAACUACCUGAAACCGUUUGGGAAAACAAACAAAAUAAACAAAACAUUCAACAACGGAUCUCUUGGCUCUGGCAUCGAUGAAGAACGAAACCGAUAGGAAAAGCACAC